AAACGCUUGGAGUCAGUCGCUUCGUCGAGGAUUCAGCCGGGCUUCUGUUCGGUGUACUUCCACGGUGAGGGGUCAGCAUCGAUUUCAGUUGCGGGAGAACGGCGUGAGGAAUGUGGCACCUCCGGGUGUGUUAUAGCCU
rnacentral:rRNA from 1 species